GAUUUUUUUCUCUUAAAUCUUGAAGUAGGCGGGCUCUUAAAACACGCUUUUCAAAAUGAAAAAAUCGGGGCAUAUUUAACUCUUAUAGACCCAAAACAUUAAAUCCCUAGCUCACAGGCCCUCUUAUCUUCAUCGUCUUCUCCCUCACUCCAUUGUUCUGUUCGCAAGUCAUGGUGGGUCGAGCCCUGAAUUCCGACCACCUUAGAUGACCCAUUCGAGCACGUAACGGUGUCGCUCUACCUCAAUUUGCUGAAGAACGAUUCCAAAGUUAACGGUCGUGUUAUGGGCUUCGAGCCCGAGCAAAUUACGAUUCGGUUACGAUAUCCUGGAUUACAGGUUUGUUUCUGAGAGCCUCGACUUCGACUCCAUCGGCGGCCUGGGCGAAGCUCUCGUCGCUUGUCUCCAGGAAGUCCCCGCCCUCUAUUUCAAAGAGGACUUCGCAUUGGAAGACGGCGCCACCUUCCGCUCCGCCUGCCCCUUCUCCGGCGUCGCCGAGAACCUCGUCCUCCAGGAGAAGCUCUCGCAUUACUUGGACCCAGAAGACCCAGAACUGUGUUGUUGGAGACACCCAGAGCUAGAAAAGGGGGCCGACGAUAUCACUGUCGGAGCAGUGCACAGACAACAAAAAGACAAGCUUGUUGCCUCUGCAGAUUGUGCUGGAGCUUUGGAUGUCACAGACGACCUACAACAUUUGCUGGUGUUUGUGUUGAAUAUAGAUACUAGAAGAUUAUUCUCACUGUGUUUCUGAUCCACCGUCUUCCCUGUCUUCCCUUAGUCCCAAAAUCUUUUUGUACAGUCUUUCAAUUACUCAAUUGAGUUUUCUCUGUUUAUCUAAUGCCAUACUGUUUGUGUUGAAUAUGAUUUAUGAUUGUGUAUUUCCAUUGCAGGCGGGAUUGUAGUUUCCAGUAUGGUAGCUUAGUUGAUUUGGUAGAUGGACAUACAUCAGUACUUUAUCAUAGGCUUCGGCUACUGGUUCCCAAUGUAUACAUGAAGAUUUGGUCUAAGCUUCAAAAAGUACGUACAUCUUGCAAACCCUCAUUGAAGGCUCAUUGAACUUCUAGAAAGACUUGAAUGUAUUUCUGUCUAUUUUGAAAUUGUUAUCAAGGAUGGACAUUAACAUCUCUAUAUUUUAAAUUUGCGAAUGUAGUAUUUCAAGAUGGAGAUAUUGAUAAUUGGUUUUAGAGUGCAUUUCA